rnacentral:misc_RNA from 1 species
GUUAAGUUAAGCCAUGCAACAUUGCAUCUUUUGGCCAAAAGUUGGUCUCACUUUGGUCAUAUAAAAAUAAGGUCAAGAGGCCAUAUCCUUUGAAAAAUAAGAAAAUUGACAAAACAAAAGAGUGUUGGUUACUGUUAUUAUUCAGAAAACCAAAAAUAAGAGGACAGUGAGAUUGCGUUUGUUGGCUUAUUUUUCUCCUUUGGUAAAACUCUCAAUUCAACAAGUUUGUGGAGCAUUAACUUCUGAAAUUCUAAGGUACACAUCUAGACUCUGGAAACUUGAUGCAGUUCAAUGAAUAAAUGGGAUUGUGUUAUAGACCAGUGAAACAAAUGAUGGUUCUCAGGGUAUUUGCAUGAACAUGGUUCAGAAACCAU